UACGUAGGUGGCAAGCGUUGUCCGGAAUUACUGGGUGUAAAGGGAGCGCAGGCGGGACUGCAAGUUGGAUGUGAAAUACCGAGGCUUAACCUCGGGGCUGCAUCCAAAACUGUAGUUCUUGAGUGGAGUAGAGGUAGGCGGAAUUCCGAGUGUAGCGGUGAAAUGCGUAGAUAUUCGGAGGAACACCAGUGGCGAAGGCGGCCUACUGGGCUCUUACUGACGCUGAGGCUCGAAAGUGUGGGGAGCAAACAGG
rnacentral:misc_RNA from 1 species